rnacentral:sRNA from 1 species
CUUCUUAACAUUCUAUAUGUGUACUUCACACUACUUUCAUAAUUAUAUCUACAACUAUCUCUUACAAUUCUAAUCACUCAUAACUCUAUUUGAGUGGUCUGUUGUUACACACACCUACAAUAAAGCACACAACAUUAGUUAAAACACACAACAUUAGUUAAAAACACACAAGAUGAUUUCAACACAUACAAGAUUCUUUGAAAAUCAAUCUGAAUCUUCUACUGUCUUCAAUGAUCACAAUGUGUGUUUGCAACAGUUGAAUGAUUAAAUUUGUGAACAAGAGCAGCAAUUAGCUAUUCUGCAUGCACAACAGUGACUCAAUGAAUUGAAAGCACAGAUUUAUGAAGAUACUCUCAUCAAGUCUCAAUUAAUCCAGAAUAUCAUCACAGAACCACCAUAAAAUUGAUCUGUGAAUGAUACAGAUGAUGAUAAUGAAACACCACUGAGAUUGAAAAUUAAGAACUAUUAUCAAGAAAGAAAUAUGUUAGAAUUCAAGAACUAUAAAGAUCACAUAUUGACUCUCUUUACACAUCAUCACUGAUAUUAUCAAAAGAAAGAACACAAAAUAAAUGAUGCUAAACUCUAUCUUGACACUCACAUUAAGCAGAAAUGAUUGAAUUUUGUAUCAUUGUAUGAGAGAUAUGAAGAAGCAACACUGUUAACUUUUGAUGAUAUGCUGUCACAUCUAGAAUUGCAAAUUAACAAUCCACAGAAUCAGUGUUGAUUGAUGAGUCAAAAAUUUCAAAAUACAAAACAACAAAAAUGACAAUCAAUACACAAUUUCUCUAAAUAUCUCAAAGACUGGGAAUACUACUUACUCUCAUAUAGUGAAAAACAAAAAAUGAAUAACUUGUAUAGUAAGAUAUUGAAGAUACUACACACUGAACUUGACUGUUGAAAUCAAGAGCCUCAGAAUUACAAAGAGUUGCUUUGAACUCUACAGACUCUCAAGAAAAAUAUAUCAGAGCAACAGCAUACUAUUUACAAAGAAAGAUCUGCAAUAUUUGUAGAGAAUCAGUAUUGUUCUGAUAAAUCUAACAACUGUUGAAACAAGAGGAAAUAAGAGAAACAAAUAGAUUCAACUGAACAAAUCAAGAA